AGAGCAGCAGCAGCAGGAGCAGCACGAGCAGCAGGAGCACUCCAAGAAGCUGCGCCACUCAAAAGAAAAGAACCUGUCUCCAAAGCGUGCCAGCUCCUCCCUGGAUGUCUUCACCGAUGCUAAGCAUGACCUGUUCUCCAUCAGCCCCUACAAUGGCACCAUCCCUCCUGGCCAGAAGCAGACCUUUCACCUGCAGUUCAAGCCAAAGUGCACCAGGAAUUUUAAGACCACCCUGCUGUGCAGGAUUCCUAACCUGGAGCCGACUCACAAGAUGGGGCAGGUGACUGUGAAAGGCAGAGUCCAGGAAUGGAAGAAUCUCGAGGAACCAUUAGUGCAGAUGGAGGAAGGCCAGGGACCCAAGGAGGAGGUGCUCUGGAGACCACCACCCGAGGGACAGCAUUUGUGUGAGCUGGAGCAUCCAGCAGGAGCCGGCAACAUCGUGCCUUCUGAGGAUGAUGAUGAUCUCCCACUCUUCACCAGAGAUGUCUGGAGCUGCCCUCCCAAGCUCCAAGAACAUCUUUAUCUUACCUUUUAGUUAGCUAAGUUACCUAACUAAUUGUUUGUUAGAUUGACAAGUAGUUGAUAAUUGUCAGUUCAUUGUUAAUAAACAAUUGUUAAUAAA